GACGAACGCUGGCGGCGUGCUUAACACAUGCAAGUCGAGCGGAAAGGCCACUUCGGUGGUACUCGAGCGGCGAACGGGUGAGUAACACGUGAGUAAUCUGCCCUUGGCUUUGGGAUAGCCACCGGAAACGGUGAUUAAUACCGGAUACGACCACUUCUCGCAUGGGAUGGUGGUGGAAAGUUUUUUCGGCCAGGGAUGUGCUCGCGGCCUAUCAGCUUGAUGGUGAGGUAAUGGCUCUCCAUGGCUUCGACGGGUAGCCGGCCUGAGAGGGUGACCGUUCACACUGGGACUGAGACACGGCCCAGACUCCUACGGGAGGCAGCAGUGGGGAAUAUUGGACAAUGGGCGGAAGCCUGAUCCAGCAACGCCGCGUGAGGGAUGACGGCCUUCGGGUUGUAAACCUCUUUCAGCAGGGACGAAGCGCAAGUGACGGUACCUGCAGAAGAAGCACCGGCCAACUACGUGCCAGCCGCCGCCGUAACAC
rnacentral:rRNA from 1 species